rnacentral:rRNA from 1 species
CCGCGUGCGGGAUGACGGCCUUCGGGUUGUAAACCGCUUUUAGUAGGGAAGAAGGGCUUCGGCUUGACGGUACCUGCAGAAAAAGGACCGGCUAACUACGUGCCAGCAGCCGCGGUAAUACGUAGGGUCCGAGCGUUGUCCGGAAUUAUUGGGCGUAAAGAGCUCGUAGGCGGUUUGUCGCGUCUGCUGUGAAAUCUGGAGGCUCAACCUCCAGCCUGCAGUGGGUACGGGCAGACUAGAGUGCGGUAGGGGAGAAUGGAAUUCCUGGUGUAGCGGUGGAAUGCGCAGAUAUCAAGAGGAACACCGAUGGCGAAGGCAGUUCUCUGGGCCGUAACUGACGCUGAGGAGCGAAAGCGUGGGGAGCGAACAGGAUUAGAUACCCUGGUAGUCCACGCCGUAGACGUUGGGCGCUAGAUGUGGGGACCUUUCCACGGUUUCCGUGUCGUAGCUAACGCAUUAAGCGCCCCGCCUGGGGAGUACGGCCGCAAGGCUAAAACUCACAGGAAUUGACGGGGGCCCGCACAAGCGGCGGAGCAUGCGGAUUAAUUCGAUGCAACGCGAAGAACCUUACCAAGGCUUGACAUAACCGAGAACGCCCUAGAAAUAGGGAACUCUUUGGA